CCCAGGUGCAGCGGCUCAGGUGACGGAGGAAACAGGAGGAGAAUCAAACACAGACGUGCCUGACAAACCACAGGUGGAUCAGGUGGAGUCUAGCUGCAGACUGAAGGAACUGCCGAGGAUUGGUCAGAACAGACUCUGGUCAGGCGCAUUGUUCUGGCCGUCAGGGUGGCGCUCAAAACUCUGCUCCUGCACCACCUGCCAGGAGCGUCUGUCACAAGCUUAUCUGUCCUUCUUAUUGGACGAGUGGGACACCGUCCUUGCCUACAAAAGAAAAGGAAAGAACAACGAACAGACGUAACAAGGACACGACCCUCUGAUGAUACAACGACAUGGAAACUGAACUGAAGGAUUUUCUUCAGACGUUUGCAGCUGAAGGAAAUGUCACUGACAUCUGAUGUCAUGUGACUGUUCUGAGAGGUUGUGACCUAUAAUGUCACUUGACUGUUCUGAUAGGUCAUGGGAAUGACCUCAUCGUGACCUCAUCAUGACCUCAUCAUGUAGCAAUGCUUAACGUGAACAACCAAUAAGGUUAGAGACAGAAUCUACAACUAACUAAUAUUAGCAGAGUAAUCAUCAUGUGGGAUUAAUGAUGUCAUGACAGAUUUCAUAAUUGAUCAUUAUUAAAUUGUAUAACAAUAUAAAAGUGAUUAUUGAUGGUUCAGGGUAUGAACAGUGUUUCCAUUCUGCUUUUGAGUUUCAGAGGUGAUUGAGUAUGUGUGACACAUGAACAUGUGACAAGCACGUCUUCCUCAUCUCUUCAUUGUGCUGGUGUCUGAUCAUGUUCAGCUCCUUCAGAGGUUGGACCAGUUUAGCUUGGAAACAAAUACAUCAGGGUCUGCAUGCCAGAAAGUAAUCAGAUUACAUUGUACUUGUACAAGUAUUUUUUCCUUUUUUUUCCGAUUAUUUAUUUUUUACAUUACAUUUUAUUUAGCUGACGCUUUUAUCCAAAGCGACUUACAAUAAGUGCAUUCAACCCCGAGGGUACAAACCCAGGACAACAAGAAUCAAGAAAGUACAAUUUCUUCAAAAUAAAGCAAAACUACAAAGUGCUAUAAGUAAGUGCGAUUUAAGUGCUACUAAAGUGUUAGUUUCAAAAAGUUGUCACUAUUUUUUUUUUCUCAAGGUAUAGUUGGAAGAGGUGUGUUUUUAGUUUUCGGCGGAAGAUGUGUAGACUUUCUGAUGUCCGGAUGUCGAUGGGGAGCUCAUUCCACCAUCUAGGAGCCAGGACGGCAAACAGUCGUGCUGCUGCAUUCUGGAUGAGCUGCAAAGGUCGGAUGUCAGUAGCAGGUAGACCUGCCAGGAGGGAGUUACAGUAGUCUAGACGUGAGAUGACCAGAGCCUGGACCAGAACCUGCACCGCCUUCUGAGUGAGAAGGGGGCGUAUUCUCCUGAUGUUGCACAGGCAGGAGAUCAGAAAAUCCUUUCAAAUUUGGUACAAAUGUACAUUUAGACUCAGAUGAACUGAUGAGUCUCAGUGGUCAAAGGUCACAGGGACAUAGAAUUGGUUGGUGGAGGUGAUCCUAGCAUUGACUGUUGUUCUUUUUGACUGAGGUCAGAGAAAUUAAACGCUGGUCCAUCCAGUCGGGAAUUGAACCAGGGACCUGCUGCUCAGGUGUGUGGAGGAAAUCAUUUUCUGAAAAAAAUACCCUAAUUGUCUUUUAAGUGCACGUAUUCUUUGGCAAAGACAAUCAAACCGAUCUAACAGCAUGCAGACGUGAAGAUGGGUAAGACCAAGAAACAUUGUUGGUUGUUCUCUUUCAUACAAAAAGAGGUGAGAGCGGCACCUAGUGAGUCACCAACAGACAUCUUGUCACAUGUGAUAUGCAUAAACACAGAUACUAGUGUGGUUACAUAAGCAUGUAUAAUACAGAGUAUCAUUACAGGUGCGACCAUGUCGGACACGUUCCGACUCCUUCACAUCAUUAUAUUACAUUUGAUCCAAUCAGUCGACCAUCUGGUUGGAGGACGACCACUGGACCCCG